GAUGAAGAACGCAGCGAAAUGCGAUAAGUAAUGUGAAUUGCAGAAUUCAGUGAAUCAUCGAAUCUUUGAACGCACAUUGCGCCCGCCAGUAUUCUGGCGGGCAUGCCUGUCCGAGCGUCAUUUCAACCCUCGAACCCCUCCGGGGGGUCGGCGUUGGGGACCUCGGGAGCCCCUAAGACGGGAUCCCGGCCCCGAAAUACAGUGGCGGUCUCGCCGCAGCCUCUCCUGCGCAGUAGUUUGCACAACUCGCACCGGGAGCGCGGCGCGUCCACGUCCGUAAAACACCCGACUUCUGAAAUGUUGACCUCGGAUCAGGUAGGAAUACCCGCUGAACUUAAGCAUAUCAAUAAGCGGAGGA
rnacentral:misc_RNA from 1 species